rnacentral:rRNA from 1 species
UAGUCAAUGCUCGCAAGAGUGAACUAGCUAACUGAAAUCAUAUAUGUGUCAUAUGUGAUAAAGUAAGGGAAAAUAAUGAUAUUACCUUAUUAUUAGUGUUGUCCAAAACUGGUGCCAGAAGACUCGGUAAGGCCAGAGACGCGAACGUUAGUCGUCCUAAUCAGGCGUAAAGGGUUUGUAGGCUGCUUUAAAAGUCUUAUUUUUAAUAUAGCUAAAAUAAAGAUAAGAUCAAUUAAAGCUAGAAUCAAAUAGAGGAUAAACCAAAUAAUACUUAGAGUAGGGCCGAUAUCCAUAAAUACUAGGUGGAAUACUAAAGGUGAAAGCUUUUUAUCUACUAAUGAUUGACGCUGAGAAACGAAGGUGAGGAAAGGAAACAGGAUUAGAUACCCACAUACCCCUCUCUGUCAACGAUGAAUGGUGGCUUGCUAAUUGAAUAAAACAUUAAAAAUUUAAUGUUAUUAUAAUAAAAAAUUGGUAGCGAUGUUAACACGAUAACCAUUCCGCCUUGUGAGUACGACUGCAAAGUUGAAAACA